rnacentral:rRNA from 1 species
GACGAACGCUGGCGGCGUGCUUAACACAUGCAAGUCGAACGGAAAGGCCCUGCUUUUGUGGGGUGCUCGAGUGGCGAACGGGUGAGUAACACGUGAGUAACCUGCCCUUGACUUUGGGAUAACUUCAGGAAACUGGGGCUAAUACCGGAUAGGAGCUCCUGCUGCAUGGUGGGGGUUGGAAAGUUUCGGCGGUUGGGGAUGGACUCGCGGCUUAUCAGCUUGUUGGUGGGGUAGUGGCUUACCAAGGCUUUGACGGGUAGCCGGCCUGAGAGGGUGACCGGCCACAUUGGGACUGAGAUCCGGCCCAGACUCCUACGGGAGGCAGCAGUGGGGAAGAUGGAACAAUGGGCGGAAGCCUGAUGCAGCAACGCCGCGGGCGGAAUGACGGCCUUCGGGUGGUAAACCGCUUUCGCCUGUGACGAAGCGUGAGUGACGGUAAUGGGUAAAGAAGCACCGGCUAACUAC